GACGAACGCUGGCGGCGUGCUUAACACAUGCAAGUCGAACGGAAAGGCCCUGCUUUUGUGGGGUGCUCGAGUGGCGAACGGGUGAGUAACACGUGAGUAACCUGCCCUUGACUUUGGGAUAACUUCAGGAAACUGGGGCUAAUACCGGAUAGGAGCUCCUGCUGCAUGGUGGGGGUUGGAAAGUUUCGGCGGUUGGGGAUGGACUCGCGGCUUAUCAGCUUGUUGGUGGGGUAGUGGCUUACCAAGGCUUUGACGGGUAGCCGGCCUGAGAGGGUGACCGGCCACAUUGGGACUGAGAUACGGCCCAGACUCCUACGGGAGGCAGCAGUGGGGAAUAGUGCACAAUGGGCGGAAGCCUGAUGCAGCAACGCCGCGUGCGGGAUGACGGACUUCGGGUUGUAAACCGCCUUCGCCUGUGACGAAGCGUGAGUGACGGUAAUGGGUAAAGAAGCACCGGCUAACUACGUG
rnacentral:rRNA from 1 species